AUGGCCCGGCCGUGGAGCAUGUGUCUACACAGAGGCACAUGCUUGCAGCGACAAAUGCUGCACAUGUGUCUAUCCCUGAAGAAUUCUCCGUUGGACCACAACAAAUCUGCAAUGUUCCUUUCAGAAAAUCAAGAUGAACCUACCAUCACCAUGGCCUUCUUCCUCCUCGAGCAUCUUCGCCUGUUACUGUGGAGUGAGGCUGGGGGACUGAAACGGAAAGCAGAGCAAGAAGCAGAGGAGGAAGACGAUGGUGCUUGCUCAAGAACGCACACUGGAAUUAGUAUCACUUAUGUAAGACUGUGGAGAUGCUGUGAAUUCGGGGAUCAAUCAGCGUUACAGCUUGUCGAUGCGAUGUGA
rnacentral:rRNA from 1 species